GACGGAGGAGGCAAGCGUUAUCCGGAAUUAUUGGGCGUAAAGCGUCCGUAGGUGGCGAUGCAAGUCUGCUGUCAAAGGUCGGGGCUUAACCCCGGAAAGGCAGUUGAAACUGAAUAGCUAGAGUGCGGUAGGGGCAGAGGGAAUUCCCGGUGUAGCGGUGAAAUGCGUAGAGAUCGGGAAGAACACCAGUGGCGAAAGCGCCCUGCUGGGCUUGCACUGACACUGAGGGACGAAAGCUAGGGGAGCGAAAGGG
rnacentral:rRNA from 1 species